rnacentral:rRNA from 1 species
UACGUAGGUGGCGAGCGUUGUCCGGAUUUACUGGGCGUAAAGGGAGCGUAGGCGGACUUUUAAGUGAGAUGUGAAAUACUCGGGCUCAACUUGAGUGCUGCAUUUCAAACUGGAAGUCUAGAGUGCAGGAGAGGAGAAUGGAAUUCCUAGUGUAGCGGUGAAAUGCGUAGAGAUUAGGAAGAACACCAGUGGCGAAGGCGAUUCUCUGGACUGUAACUGACGCUGAGGCUCGAAAGCGUGGGGAGCAAUCAGG